rnacentral:rRNA from 1 species
AGUGAACGCUGGCGGUAGGCCUAACACAUGCAAGUCGAACGGCAGCACAGUAAGAGCUUGCUCUUACGGGUGGCGAGUGGUGGACGGGUGAGGAAUACAUCGGAAUCUACUUUUUCGUGGGGGAUAACGUAGGGAAACUUACGCUAAUACCGCAUACGACCUACGGGUGAAAGCAGGGGAUCUUCGGACCUUGCGCGAUUGAAUGAGCCGAUGUCGGAUUAGCUAGUUGGCGGGGUAAAGGCCCACCAAGGCGACGAUCCGUAGCUGGUCUGAGAGGAUGAUCAGCCACACUGGAACUGAGACACGGUCCAGACUCCUACGGGAGGCAGCAGUGGGGAAUAUUGGACAAUGGGCGCAAGCCUGAUCCAGCCAUACCGCGUGGGUGAAGAAGGCCUUCGGGUUGUAAAGCCCUUUUGUUGGGAAAGAAAAGCAGCAGGUUAAUACCCCGCUGUUCUGACGGUACCCAAAGAAUAAGCACCGGCCAACUUCGUG